UACGUAGGGUGCGAGCGUUAAUCGGAAUUACUGGGCGUAAAGCGUGCGCAGGCGGUUAUUUAAGUCAGGUGUGAAAGCCCUUGGCUUAACCGAGGAAGUGCAUCCGAAACUGGCGAGCUAGAGUACUAAAGAGGAUCGCGGAAUUCCCGGUGUAGAGGUGAAAUUCGUAGAUAUCGGGAGGAACACCGGUGGCGAAGGCGGCGAUCUGGGUAGAUACUGACGCUGAGGUGCGAAAGCGUGGGGAGCAAACAGG
rnacentral:rRNA from 1 species